rnacentral:rRNA from 1 species
GUUGGGCACUCUAAGUUGACUGCCGGUGACAAACCGGAGGAAGGUGGGGAUGACGUCAAAUCAUCAUGCCCCUUAUGAUUUGGGCUACACACGUGCUACAAUGGACAAUACAAAGGGUAGCGAAACCGCGAGGUCAAGCAAAUCCCAUAAAGUUGUUCUCAGUUCGGAUUGUAGUCUGCAACUCGACUACAUGAAGCUGGAAUCGCUAGUAAUCGUAGAUCAGCAUGCUACGGUGAAUACGUUCCCGGGUCUUGUACACACCGCCCGUCACACCACGAGAGUUUGUAACACCCGAAGCCGGUGGAGUAACCUUUUGGAGCUAGCCGUCGAAGGUGGGACAAAUGAUUGGGGUGAAGUCGUAACAAGGUAGCCGUAUCGGAAGGUGCGGCUGGAUCACCUCCUUU